ACACACCUAGGGAGUUUGCUGUUGGCCUGCGAAGACCCUUUAUGGGACAUGGAUCAAAAGUGCUGUUCCUCGAGAUACUUACCUCCAGUAUAGGAUCCUGGUGUCAAAAGGAAUCAGAUACGGCUCCAUUGUACAUGGCAUGACUUGUAUAGCCAGACAGAGCAGGUGUGGAAACUUCUGGAUGCCUGCUCUUGUGAGUUCACCUCUAUGUCUACUCUACUGAGGCCUCUCCAUACAGGUCUCAGUUUCCUGCCUUCCUGGGAAGUGGGGAAAGGCUGAGAGGCCCCGUGCUGGGGGUGAAGCUAAUUCAUUAGUUACGCCUCAACAAGGACCGGGUGCCUGCAGUGCCAGCGUGAUUCAUCAUGAUGAUUGCCCCACUGCCAGCCUGCGUGGGCCUGGAACGCCAGCACAUUUUACCUUUACCCACUGAGAAGGGCCUGGUGGGAGGUGAAGGUACAGGAUCUGCCGAGAGCAAGAAAAAGACUCUGAGAAAGAAGAGGGCUGGUCCUCCAUGCUCUCGGCCCCAGGAAGCUCUGCCAGGCUGGUGCCGGGGUGGAGAGGCUCAUGUGGGCUCAUGUGGUGCUGCCUGUGCUGAUGGAGCCCAAGAGGGCAGCCUGGCGCUGGGUGCCAGCCUGAGCAUGUGGCGAGGCUGGGCUGCUGAGCCUCCUCCUCCACAGCCAAUGUUCCCUCAAACUGCUUGGGGGUGGGGGGAGGGACUCAUCCUCAUCCCAUUAGCCUGGCUGGGUAUUCCCUACCUUUCUGGUCUCUGAGAGACUUACCUCUUCCAAGAAGUCCUCCCGAAUGAGUAGAAGGGAGAGAGCUGGAUUGGAACUUAAGUGACAUCUGGGAGGAGCCUGAAGCCCCUCCGGUUGGGGCUGAGACUCCUAUACCCUAGGUCUGGUGUCUGGGUUCCACCUGGGUCCUCUACCUUGGCCUGGAUUCCUGCUUUCGUUUUGCCAGUCUCUCCCAGGAUGGGGGUGCAUGGCUGGUUCGUGGCUCAGAGCAACAUCUGCCUCUGUGUCCCCCCAUCAUCUGUCCGCCCCCUAACACCUCUUGCCAUAUUAGAAUUGCUAUUGCUCUGUCCUUUCAUUCAUGUAUCCAACAAAUAUAUAUUAUCUGAAAAAAA
rnacentral:lncRNA from 1 species